rnacentral:rRNA from 1 species
GGGCUUCAUAGUCUUGCAAUUGGAAUGAGUAGAUUUUAAAUCUCUUUACGAGUAUCAAUUGGAGGGCAAGUCUGGUGCCAGCAGCCGCGGUAAUUCCAGCUCCAAUAGCGUAUAUUAAAGUUGUUGCGGUUAAAAAGCUCGUAGUUGGAUUUCUGCCAAGAACGACCGUCCUACCUUCGGGUUUUGGACCGUGUUGAUCUAGGCAUUCCUCUAGAUUCUAUCUACUCUUAAUUGCUGUAGAAUUGAACUAGAACAUUUACUUUGAGGAAAUUAGAGCGUUUCAAGCAGGC